rnacentral:rRNA from 1 species
UAAGGAAUAUUGGACAAUGGAGGCAACUCUGAUCCAGCCAUGCCGCGUGAAGGAAUAAUUCACUAUGGGUUGUAAACUUCUUUUAGACGGGACAAAACCCCUUUACGUGUAAAGGGUUGAUGGUACUGUCAGAAUAAGCAUCGGCUAACUUCGUGCCAGCAGCCGCGGUAAUACGAAGGAUGCAAGCGUUAUCCGGAAUUAUUGGGUUUAAAGGGUGCGCAGGCGGACUAAUGAGUCAGUGGUGAAAGCCUGCAGCUUAACUGCAGAAUUUCCAUUGAUACUGUUAGUCUUGGGUUCAUUUGAAGUAGGCGGAAUGUUUCAUGUAGCGGUGUAAUGCUUAGAUAUGAGACAGAACACCGAUUGCGAAAGCAGCUUGCUAAGCUAUAACUGACGCUGAGGCACGAAAGC